UAUGGGCUUGAUACACAGUGAUGACUUAAGUUUGUCAUGCCUGUCACUAUAGCCCAAAGAAAAAUAUUUGUCUUCUGAUGACUAUGCUGUUACAAGGCCCUCAGCAUGGACAGAUACGGGACAUACAAUU